GAUUCGCUAACUCAGUUGGUAGAGUACAACACUUUUAAUGUUGAGGUCAUAGGUUCGAGUCCUAUGCGAAUCA
rnacentral:tRNA from 1 species